UGGAGAGUGUUGACCAAUUUUCA
rnacentral:siRNA from 1 species